UUUAACUGAAGAGUUUGAUCAUGGCUCAGAUUGAACGCUGGCGGCAGGCUUAACACAUGCAAGUCGAGCGGGGGAAGGUAGCUUGCUACUGGACCUAGCGGCGGACGGGUGAGUAAUGCUUAGGAAUCUGCCUAUUAGUGGGGGACAACAUCUCGAAAGGGAUGCUAAUACCGCAUACGUCCUACGGGAGAAAGCAGGGGAUCUUCGGACCUUGCGCUAAUAGAUGAGCCUAAGUCGGAUUAGCUAGUUGGUGGGGUAAAGGCCUACCAAGGCGACGAUCUGUAGCGGGUCUGAGAGGAUGAUCCGCCACACUGGGACUGAGACACGGCCCAGACUCCUACGGGAGGCAGCAGUGGGGAAUAUUGGACAAUGGGGGGAACCCUGAUCCAGCCAUGCCGCGUGUGUGAAGAAGGCCUUAUGGUUGUAAAGCACUUUAAGCGAGGAGGAGGCUACUUUAGUUAAUACCUAGAGAUAGUGGACGUUACUCGCAGAAUAAGCACCGGCUAACUCUGUGCCAGCAGCCGCGGUAAUACAGAGGGUGCGAGCGUUAAUCGGAUUUACUGGGCGUAAAGCGUGCGUA
rnacentral:rRNA from 1 species